CUACCACAUCCAAGGAAGGCAGCAGGCGCGUAAAUUACCCAAUCGUGACACACGGAGGUAGUGACAAUAAAUAUCAAUGCGGAUGCUUUUUAGCAGUUGCAAUUGAAAUGAGAACAAUUUAAAUCCCUUAACGAGGAUCAAUUGGAGGGCAAGUCUGGUGCCAGCAGCCGCGGUAAUUCCAGCUCCAAUAGCGUAUACUAAUGUUGUUGUAGUUAAAAAGCUCGUAGUUGAAUUUCUGGUUGUCGACUUGUGGUCCUGCGCCUCGUGCGUUUUGGUACCGUUUUUGUCGACGCCAUCUUAGUCGUGAUUGCUUCUGGCAUUAGGUCGUCGGUUUUAGGAGCGGCUUCGUUUACUGUGAUAACAAAUAGAGUGUUCAAAGCAGACAUUACGUCUUGAAUGCUUCAGCAUGGAAUAAAAAGAUAGGACAGCGGUACUAUUUUAUUGGUAUGUAUACCGUAGUAAUGAUUAAUAGGGAUAGUUGGGGGUAUUCAUAUUUGAUUGUCAGAGGUGAAAUUCUUGGAUUUAUGAAAGAUGAACUUAUGCGAAAGCAUUUAUCAAGGAUGUUUUCAUUAAUCAAGAACGAAAGUUAGGGGAUCGAAGAGGAUUAGAUACCCUCGUAGUCUUAACCAUAAACUAUGCCGACUCGGG
rnacentral:rRNA from 1 species